rnacentral:rRNA from 1 species
GGACCCGCACAAGCAGUGGAGCAUGUGGUUUAAUUCGAAGAUACGCGCAGAACCUUACCAACGCUUGACAUGUUCGUCGCGAAACUAAGAGAUUAGUUUCUUCAGUUCGGCUGGACGAAACACAGGUGCUGCAUGGCUGUCGUCAGCUCGUGUCGUGAGAUGUUGGGUUAAGUCCCGCAACGAGCGCAACCCCCUACUUUUAGUUGCCACCAUUUAGUUGGGCACUUUAAAAGAACUGCCAGUGAUAAGCUGGAGGAAGGUGGGGAUGACGUCAAGUCCUCAUGGCCCUUAUGUGUUGGGCUACACACGUGCUACAAUGGCACUUACAAUGGGAAGCAAAGAGGUGACUCUAAGCUAAUCCCAAAAAUGUGUCUCAGUUCGGAUUGUACUCUGUAACUCGAGUGCAUGAAGCUGGAAUUGCUAGUAAUCG